AGCGAGCGCUGGCGGCAGGCCUAACACAUGCAAGUCGAACGAACCUUUCGGGGUUAGUGGCGGACGGGUGAGUAACACGUGGGAACGUGCCUUUAGGUUCGGAAUAACUCAGGGAAACUUAUGCUAAUACCGAAUGUGCCCUUCGGGGGAAAGAUUAAUCGCCUUUAGAGCGGCCCGCGUCUGAUUAGCUAGUUGGUUGAGGUAAUGGCUCACCAAGGCGACGAUCAGUAGCUGGUCUGAGAGGAUGAUCAGCCACAUUGGGACUGAGACACGGCCCAAACUCCUACGGGAGGCAGCAGUGGGGAAUCUUGCGCAAUGGGCGAAAGCCUGACGCAGCCAUGCCGCGUGAAUGAUGAAGGUCUUAGGAUUGUAAAAUUCUUUCACCGGGGACGAUAAUGACGGUACCCGGAGAAGAAGCCCCGGCUAACUUCGUG
rnacentral:rRNA from 1 species